UAUAAAGCUGGUAAGAUCAAUUCCAAAUCAACAGUCUUUAGUGAAAGGCAAAUUACCAACCAUGCAGUUCAACUAUAUUAUUCUCGUCUUCUGUGUCAUCUUGAUGCUUGGAGAGAUGGUCGCCGGCGCAGCAGUCCUUCCUCUUAUUGGUGGAAUCCUACAUGGAUUAACACAUGGACAUCACGGACAUCAUGGACACCAUGGACACCAUGGACACCACGGACAUCAUGGACAUGGACAUGGUCACUCCAAUUAUUAUGGAUAAGAAAUCUGUGAACUUUAUUCAUUAAGAAGAAGUAAAACAUAAAUUUUUCUAAACUUGUUUGUUUAUUUGCGAAAUAAAAAAAUAUCUUUAAA